AUUCUUUUUUUCAAAAGAUCGCCACUGAUCAAUUGAAAAUCUAGUGUGUCAAUUGUUAAAUUCGUUCGUUCGAUCAGAACAAAUGUGCUGGUCAUCAGCUUUUGUGUUUUUAAUUGAAUCCUUCAGUAUCUGGACCAUCA